rnacentral:rRNA from 1 species
CUACGAAGGGGGCUAGCGUUGUUCGGAAUUACUGGGCGUAAAGCGCGCGUAGGCGGAUUGGUCAGUUAGGGGUGAAAUCCCAGGGCUUAACCCUGGAACUGCCUCUAAUACUGCCAGUCUUGAGUUCGGGAGAGGUGAGUGGAAUUCCUAGUGUAGAGGUGAAAUUCGUAGAUAUUAGGAAGAACACCAGUGGCGAAGGCGGCUCACUGGCCCGAUACUGACGCUGAGGCGCGAAAGCGUGGGGAGCAAACAGAAUUAGAAACCCUAGUAGUCC